CCCCCUCUUCUUCACUAUAGAAGGUGGUCAAUGGAAUUAUUCUCCUCAUAGGGAGGUGCAUGUAUCUCAGGGGUAGUUCUUCUCUUGGGUUUUGCAAUCAGAGGGCGUCUUCUUUUCUCUUUUGGGGCUGCAAAGGGUGAACCAACUCGCAGUGAAGGGUGUACUGGCAGAUCCUAGCUUAGCUCUUCCAGAAAACUAAGCUUUACGUUUGUGGUCGCUUCAAUUAUGUGCUAUGCAGUUUCUACCAUUAGGGCUCGGGAUUCACCCUAAAUAACCCUCUGUUUCCUUGCAAUUUGUUCAGUAGGGUCAGCACAGCUCACAUAGUGGAUGGUGACAUCACACAACUCCCACAUAACCUCUUCUUUGGAAGGGAUCAUAGGAGGAGGGGGUGGAGGCGUGACUUCUGCAGUCACUUGUCUUUCCAAUAGAGGGCGACGUGGUCGAGAGGUUUCUGAGAACUCUACUAGUAAGAUAUUUGCACUGCCUCUGGCGCUUGGUUUUUCUAUCCACUGCAUAUUUAGAGGAUAAUAACCAGGAAAACGUUUUGGGAUGAGUGACCAAAGGCGUUGGAGAGUCAGGUGGUAGGGAAUUCUUCUAUCCAUGGUGUAGAGACAUAUUGAAAGUAUCCAAAACUAGGGUUCUUCACACAGAGUUGGGAGUGUUCUUGCCUAAAGAGCUGAGUUUUCUUGCCCAAGGGAUGAGAGUUAAAUACUUACGAUAAGAUGCAAUAAAUGCGAGUCAAGAAAAACAGUUCUUAACCUAGAGGUGAGUGGGUUCAAGUAUUUAAAGGCGCAGUCUUAAAUAAGAGAGAAGCUCAACGUUUCCAUAAUAGCAGCUUGUAAUGACUGUAUGAUUAUGGUUACAAGGGUGCUUUGUCGUCCGGGUCGAGGAGUUAGAAGGUGAGAGGGGUUGUUUUUUACUCGGUCAGUUCAACUGGGAAGUGGCGUGAGGGGCGUCUCCUACGCCGGACUCACUAGGGAGGAUGCCGACCGCCUCAAGGCAUCGUAUAAAGCCAAAAAUAGAAUAAACUUUGCUAGAAAAGGAAAUAAAAGUGGGUAAAAUCUGCUAUCUUGAACUUAUUUUUCUUCUUUCAGCUAGCUCGGGAACUGUGCCUAAGAGCUUUUUUUUUAGAGACGAAUAAUAGUGUUGAUUGAGAAUUCUCUAACUAAUUCUCAAAACAAUCGAAUGAUAAGACAAAACCAAUGUUCCGUGUCUCACCAUCUGUAUAUAUAUGGCCACUAACUUGGUGAUGAUAUGAAACUAGGAAGCAUGCUGGCUCCCAAAUGC